AUACUCUAUGGGUCUCGAGGGAAGAGAAACCUAGUUUUCUUUAAGUUCUAUCUGCAGUCCAAGAAGGGUUUCAAUGGCGGCCAAUAUGAAGACAUGCACCACUUUUCAGAGAUAUGUAAGGCAUGUACGCGUGGAAGGAGCAGCUGUAAGUUUCAACAACAGUUAAGGGUUUCAAAAGAGGAGUAUUCAAUAACUUCUGUACAAGAAAGACUCCAUGUAUCACGGGAUGCAACAAUGAUAUCCCAUACUCCUCUCGCAAUUACUACAACUGCAACUUUGAUGCCUGAGGUGUUGAUAGCGGACCAAAUGUCCUAUAUUGAUGACAUCACGCUGUCAGCGAUUGAUUUUGGCCUACAAGGCUAUACGGGUACCCCCUCCACGUCUAGGCGUCGUCCUAAGAAAAAGAAUUCCUCGAAGAUGCCAAAACGUGGGAAGAAGGUAAUUGAACACAUUUUUAGUUGUACAAUUGUUUGAAAAUAUUGAAAUUGUCUUAGUUGGGAUUUGUAGAUUGAUUAGUGUUUUUUGUCUAUUUUACAUGUACAAUGGCCAUUGAGCUAUGUGGAUUUGUUGAAUGCACCUAAUUUGCUCGUGGAAUGAGAUAGGGUGAAGGUAAUAGCGACAGUUUCUCCAUCGAUAGUGAGCCAUCCUCAGUCCAUUGGAGAAGCAUCUCAAGCACCGAUACAUCAUUGUUCUCUAUAUUAUAGCUUUUAAGUGUUUUUUGAUAUAUUUAUGUUAGUACAUUGUAUUAAUUGUACAUUUAAUCUACAAUAGCCCCCUUUGCGGUUCGGCCAUAAUGUGGAUCCUUUUAAGUUUAUCUUCAAGAAAAAUCCUAAGACUGCCAAGGAGAGGAGAGCGAAGACAUUAGAUCCGAGAUCAGCCGAUGAGAGCCGCGUACUGCAUUGAAGAGGCUCAAUUUUGAUGAUCCACCACAAGUUUAUGAUCAUAUAAUGUUAGUUGUGGUCAUAGAAUGACCAAUACAUGUAGAUAUAUUCUACAUUUUUGUUGUAUAUCGAUUUGGACAUGACAUAUGCCACAUUUUUGUAAUACUUGUAUUGACUUGAUAGACAUACCUUUUUUUAAUAUAUAUACAAAUAUUGAUAU